GAUGAACGCUGGCGGCGUGCCUAACACAUGCAAGUCGAACGGACCAUCUUUCGGGGUGGUUAGUGGCGGACGGGUGCGUAACACGUAGGUGACCUGCCCCAGAGUGGGGAAUAAUUCCGCGAAAGCGGGACUAAUACCGCAUAUGCUCGGCGAUCCACUUCGUCGAGUAAAGCCUUCGGGCGCUUUGGGAUGGGCCUGCGGCGGAUUAGCUAGUUGGUAGGGUAAUGGCCUACCAAGGCGAUGAUCCGUAGGGGGCGUGAGAGCGUGACCCCCCACAUUGGCACUGAGACACGGGCCAAACUCCUACGGGAGGCUG
rnacentral:rRNA from 1 species